UAUCUGUACCCUCAUAUGUGGAGAGGCUAUCUCCAUAUUUCGGAUUUGUGACAUCUAGGUCACAAUGGAGUAAUCUUACUAUUGUGCGAAGAUCCAACCUAAAAAAAGGGUGUCCUAGCCUCUCAAGCAUAAAGCUCCCACCAUUGCAGGGUUUGGGGAGGAAUGUACAUAGCCUUACUCCCACACACGAAGAGGCUAUCUCUAUGUUUGAACCCACGACACCUAGGUCAUGAUGGAGCAUCCUUAUCAUCGUACUAAGGCCUACUCUCUAAUAAUAAAAAGCUAUAUUGUUGCUAAAUUGGAUUAAUGGAAGAA
rnacentral:lncRNA from 1 species